UACGGAGGGAGCUAGCGUUGUUCGGAAUUACUGGGCGUAAAGCGCACGUAGGCGGCUAUUCAAGUCGGGGGUGAAAGCCCGGGGCUCAACCCCGGAACUGCCCUCGAAACUAGGUAGCUAGAAUCUUGGAGAGGCGAGUGGAAUUCCGAGUGUAGAGGUGAAAUUCGUAGAUAUUCGGAAGAACACCAGUGGCGAAGGCGACUCGCUGGACAAGUAUUGACGCUGAGGUGCGAAAGCGUGGGGAGCAAACAGG
rnacentral:rRNA from 3 species